rnacentral:rRNA from 1 species
CCUUCGGGGUUAGUGGCGCACGGGUGCGUAACGCGUGGGAACCUGCCUUUAGGUUCGGAAUAACUCAGAGAAAUUUGAGCUAAUACCGGAUAAUGUCUUCGGACCAAAGAUUUAUCGCCUUUAGAUGGGCCCGCGUUAGAUUAGAUAGUUGGUGGGGUAAUGGCCUACCAAGUCGACGAUCUAUAGCUGGUCUGAGAGGAUGAUCAGCCACACUGGGACUGAGACACGGCCCAGACUCCUACGGGAGGCAGCAGUGGGGAAUAUUGGACAAUGGGCGAAAGCCUGAUCCAGCAAUGCCGCGUGAGUGAUGAAGGCCUUAGGGUUGUAAAGCUCUUUUACCAGGGAUGAUAAUGACAGUACCUGGAGAAUAAGCUCCGGCUAACUCCGUGCCAGCAGCCGCGGUAAUACGGAGGGAGCUAGCGUUGUUCGGAAUUACUGGGCGUAAAGCGCGCGUAGGCGGCUUUUCAAGUCAGGGGUGAAAUCCCGGGGCUCAACCCCGGAACUGCCCUU